rnacentral:rRNA from 1 species
UACGUAGGGUGCGAGUCAUUGAAUCGAUACUGGGCGUAAAGCGUGCGCAGGCGGCGCGUUAAGACAGGUGUGAAAGCCCCGAGCUUAACUUGGGAAUUGCGCUUGUGACUGGCGUGCUGGAGUGUGGCAGAGGGAGGUGGAAUUCCACGUGUAGCAGUGAAAUGCGUAGAGAUGUGGAGGAACACCGAUGGCGAAGGCAGCCUCCUGGGCCAGCACUGACGCUCAUGCACGAAAGCCGUGGGGAGCGAA